GCACCUUUAGCUCAAUUGGAUAGAGCAUCUGACUACGGAUCAGAAGGUUGGGGGUUCGACUCCCUCAAGGUGCGCCA
rnacentral:tRNA from 1 species